AGCAGUGGGGAAUUUUGGACAAUGGGCGAAAGCCUGAUCCAGCAAUGCCGCGUGAGUGAAGAAGGCCUUCGGGUUGUAAAGCUCUUUUGUCAGGGAAGAAACGGUGAGGGCUAAUAUCUCUUGCUAAUGACGGUACCUGAAGAAUAAGCACCGGCUAACUACGUGCCAGCAGCCGCGGUAAUACGUAGGGUGCAAGCGUUAAUCGGAAUUACUGGGCGUAAAGCGUGCGCAGGCGGUUUUGUAAGUCUGAUGUGAAAUCCCCGGGCUCAACCUGGGAAUUGCAUUGGAGACUGCAAGGCUAGAAUCUGGCAGAGGGGGGUAGAAUUCCACGUGUAGCAGUGAAAUGCGUAGAUAUGUGGAGGAACACCGAUGGCGAAGGCAGCCCCCUGGGUCAAGAUUGACGCUCAUG
rnacentral:rRNA from 1 species